AUGGCCGCCGCACUCUCCCCCCACCUCGCCGCGACCCUGCCGUCUCUCCGCUCCCCUGCCCGCCGGCCUUCUCCCGCAGCCUCUCUACUCCCGCCCCGGGGCGCCCGCAUCGCCCUCCGUCGCUCCUCCAGGCAUCCUUACCCUUUGUCAAGAAAUUCUGGGUGGUUUGAGAAUGCAACAAAGAAGAAGGCCCUGUUUGCAUCAGAUUCAGACUCUCCUAACACCGAGGUUUCAAAACAGAGCAGCACUGGUGACGCCAGCGCUUCUCCGGAUGGCCCGCCAGUCCUCACCAUUUUGGCCGGUAUCGUCGUGUUCUUUCUGCUCUUGUGGGUAAUCGGAUCGAUCUUCACCUGGAUUGUUGGUCUCGUCUUCGGGGCUGCGAAAUCUUAG
rnacentral:rRNA from 1 species